GUGGGUGCCCUAGAUGGCUUCAGGCUGGUGUGCCCAGAGAGGGGAAGGGGGCUGGGCACCAGCUCCCCGCCACCCCCACCUCGCUCUCUCCAUUGCUCCCGUGUGGCUGUUUCUCAGUUGUAUCCUUUAUAACAAACCUACACAUGUAAGUAAAAUGUUUCCUGGGGUUCUGUGAGUCGUUCCAGUGAAUUAUUGAACCUGACGGAGGCUUUAUGAGCCCUCCCCAAAUUUAUAACGGGUCCAUCAGAAGCAUAGGUGGCCCCUGAGACUUGCGACUGGCGUUCAGAAUGGGCGCAGUCUCGAGGGACUGAGCCCUUAACCUGUGCGGUCUGUGCUAACUCAGGGUAGCUAGUGUCAGAAUUCGUUGAAUUGUUGGACUCCCAUUUCGUGUUGGAGAAUGGGUAUGGAAAACAGAUCACUCAUUUGGUGUCAGAAAGAAGAUGUCACAAUGGAUAGAAGUGAUGUUUAUGUGAACCCAAGCAGCAGCAUCCACAGAAGGAAUAGUGAGCCCAGCGGAAAUACCAAGGCUCCGUCCGGACCAGCCUCGUCAAUUCAGAGCAAUGGAGUUACGAGACUUUUAAACAGCUUCUCCUAGUGAAGGGUUUGCAGAAAAUGAUUAACGUAUUCUCCAAAAUGAAGAAAAAGAGCGACUAUGGCAACCUACGGAAGAAUACACUGGUGAUGCACCUUGUUGGCUGGUGAGAUGAAGUCAAGAGCGCAUAGCAUGUUAGCAGCUGGAUGGAGAAGACAGACUGCCUGAGAACGUGGCGUCUCAGCUCUCCUCACAGUGGACACCAGUCCUUCGGCAGAACAGGUCGGCACGGAGACCUCUGAAAAGCCUUCCAAAGAAAAACCUAAGGAAGUCCUUCUGGGGGUGAUACGUGGCAGUCAAGGCGCCUCGGAGUGUGAGAACCACUCUCGCCUUCCCCUGGGGUCCUGUCUACACUCUCCUCUGAACAUAGCGCCGGGCUCAUCCCUGAAGAAUGAACCAGCCUGGGGGUUUGGAUGGAGAAACACACAGCAAGACUUCAACCUCAGCGCACACAUCAUUAAGCCUACAGGAAUCGUUGUCGCUAGAAUUCCUGGUUCGAGUCUGCAGAAUCUUGAAGUCCAAGCUAUCCGGUGAACCAUGGCUUAGCCGAUGCCUGCCUGCAAGAUUGGACUUUCUUUGGCACAGGAAGGAACCCUUCUAACGGAGAACAGAAGUAACACUGCCUCUCCUUUCCUGCCUCCCGCACAUGACACUGGGGGCGCCAUACUGGGAUCUGCUGGGAUUCCACCAGGAGGUGAGGCUGCUGUGCCAGCUGUGUAGCUGGAGGAACGUGUUGUCCCCUGGACUCGGAGUGCGUAAACUGUAACCCUGCUGAAGACUGAGGCCCCGAUAGCAGGUGCUGUUUCAGCCAGCCGUCCUCCCAGCCCCCCGAGAAUACGCACUGCUGCUCCCCCCUCCUGGCUCCUCCCUCAUGGAAAGUGCUGCUCACGUCCUUCACCCGAAAAUCUGUCCGACUUUCAGUGAAUCAUGUGUUUGAGGUUGUGUUCUGAACGCUACUAGGGUUUUGGUCACCUCUAGAUUCCUGGAGAGAGGGGUCAGACACAUACGUCUUGCUUUCAAAUCCUGGCUUGGUGAUCUUGAACAAGAUCAUUUUCAGCUUCUUUGGGCCUUAGUUUCCUCAUCUGUAAAGAGGAUUAUUAUGGUCAUUGUUAUUGCUAUCAUUGUCAUUGUCACAGAGUUGCUGUGAGGAUUGAGGAGGGUGCAUAAAAAGUAGCUAGAACAUGGCAGGCGAUCUGCCAGUCAGCUUGGGCAGAGGAGAAUGCAGCCUGGACCCUGAGGUGUGGAAGUCUCAAGUGUCCUGUGAGUUGCCGACUGCAGGUGACCCAGAGUUAGAAAAGCAUCCUUGGGUCUCUAGUAGUAGUAGGAAUCUGAUUUCUUCAGGACAUUUCCUGAUAAAACUACAUCCUGGUCUUAGCUGUGCUGUGGCAAUUAGGUAGAACAGUGACAGUCCCCAAGGAGGGAGCAUCAGGCGUCCCCCCGGGAGGCUGGCGUUCUCAGAGGACCACAGACUCCUGAGCCACACCUGAGUGACUGCAGGACAAGUCCGCCGGAAGCUGGAAACCUGAGCUCUUUAUCCUGGAAAAAUCUAUGUGAUGUGCUUCCCUUGGGCUGUCAGAAAUAACGGGUGAUCAUUUGAGAGGAGCUAAUUUCUGAAAAUUAGGCCAAAGAUGCUUGUACCAAAAUUAUGAAGAAAGAGGAAGCACCUCCGUGCAUUGCGGUGACAGGCAGUUGAGACCGAGAAGGAAGCGUUGCACUCAGUGUAACUGGCUGUGUGAAUGGGAAACAACAGAGCUCCCAAGUGACAGAAAGGCAUGGUUUUAUGUCGUGUCAGAGCUCUUUAGGGGAGCUGCGGAUCUGCCGGAUUUCAGAUGAGCACUUCCCGUGAGACACCUUUUCAGGUGGUGGUGGGAUCGGAA